AGGAGGCGGGACUUCUGCGUCGCCAUCUUGUUAAGGGGCGCGUCCAUCCUGCAGCGGCCAUGUUUGUGAGGGGCGGCCUCCGGGUAUAAGAUGUGCAGGGAAGCAGUUUCAGGUCUACCCGUGAGUGGAGACCUCUUUACGUACUUGAGAGCUUUUAUCUUAACUUCCUUCUUUCUUUUCAAACAUCUUCCUUCUUGCAUCCCUCAGGGCAUCCCUGCACCGUUUUUUAGGCUAUCCUCGUUCAAAUGUUCUUGCUCCUGCAAGGCUCAGCCUGCAAGCCCUGGCCCUUCAGUCCCAACUUGAACUGCUCUGCCCUUUGGGAUCUAAUAUGGUCUUGCACCGUUAAUCCUUUCUGUCCUGUGUUCUUUCGCAUUAGCUUGUUUUCUGGUGAAAUGAGAACAGCCUGCAGACAUCACGGAAGGCAUGAAGAAGGCUCGCAGCACACCAUAUUAGCCUGAGAUUCCUAGGUCUUACCUGGGCUUCUGGCUUUCUUUUAGAGGCUUGUUCAUGCUUAGGAUUUUAGAGUGUUUAGACCUUGGACUUGGAGAUGUUUUGACUAUAACCCUACCACAGGACAUAGACAUAGAGCUGCCACCAAAGUUUUACAAGUCAGUACCUUUUCUUUUUCAUUUUUUUAAUUAGAUAUUUUUAAAAUUUACAUUUCAAAUGCUAUCCUGCAAGUUCCCUAUACCCUCCCCCCGCCCUGCUCCCCUACCCACCCACUCCUACUUCUUGGCCCUGGCAUUCCCCUGUACUGGGGCAUAUAAAGUUUGCAAGACCAAGGGGCCUCUCUUCCCAAUGAUGGCCGACUAGGCCAUCUUCUGCUACAUAUGCAGCUAGAGACACAAGCUCCGGGGGGUACUGGUUAGUACAUAUUGUUGUUCCACCUAUAGUGUUGCAGACCCCUUCAGCAUCUUGGGUACUUUCUCUAGCUACAAGUCAGUACCUUUAGCAUCUGUGAAGUGCUAUGGUUUUUUUGUUUUUGUUUUUUUUAUUAAAAGAAAAAAGUUAGCUGAGCAUGGUGGACAUAUGAGUAGUCUCAAUUAUUUAGGAUAGUGAGGUGGUGCAUCAUUUAGAGUCCACAGUUUUGAAAUCAGCCUGGACAACAGUGAAACCUUAAUAAUAAUAAUAAUAAUAAUAAUAAUUAAUUUUUAAAAAAUUGUGGUAUGGCAAAAAAACUAAAAGUAGAUAGAUGUUGUCUGAAAGAGUGGGGAUGUGGUUCAAAAAGCUGCCAUAGAUCCCUCAGGUACCUACGUUCCAUUCUUGUACUGGAUAUUAUCUCACACCGCAGGGCCUCUCUGCUUCGGGAACAGAGCAGGCCUGUGUGCACACACAGCUCUGUCCUUCCGUGUCUCUUUCUAAAGAUAAAUUUGCCCCCGUGGAAUUACUAGGUCAGAGAUGAUGAGACCAGAAUCGAAGCUCCUUGUUUCUACCCACUUAUCUCCACUCCCGAGUCCGUUUCUCUAUGUGAAUAAUAACCCCACCUCAGUGUUUGGAGGAGAAAAAAAAUUUUUUUCAGAUCUGUGUUUUCUUCAUGAUAGAGCCCUUGAGUGAUGGGGCUGGAAGGGACCUGAGAUACCAUCUCACUUGGCUGCCUGACUGCGACCUGCAGAGGGAACAGGUAGUAAAUUCUACCUGAACAGGACGCAGGCUGCUGAAGUUGUUUAGUGCAGUUCUCAGCUUAACACCCGGCACAAGAAAAUCUUCCUCGAGAACAUUGUCUAUCAGCUGUCAAUCAACAACCCUUCCAGCAUUGGUUCCGUCCCAGAAAAAACAGACUCUGCUUCCCAAUUAUCACAGGCGCUGGCCCAGGGGAGGUGAGAAGACGAGAAGGAGAAGCACUGUGUUCUUUUAGAAGUGGCUCCUUCUGUGUUUCUCUGGCACCAAGAAAAAGCCACAGAACUCUGGGUGUGCCUCAUGUGGGUCUCAUCUCUUCCCAGUUUAGGACAAAGUUACCAAAGCGCUCAACUUCCAUGUCUUUUUUUCAACAGACCUCCUCCUCUGGGUCUGAUGAUGGAAUAAAAUGCUCAAGACGAGGGGCUGGAGAGAGGGCACCACAGUUAAGAGCAUUUUGGCCCCUGC
rnacentral:lncRNA from 1 species